CAGCCGCCGCGGUAAUACGUAGGGUGCGAGCGUUAAUCGGAAUUACUGGGCGUAAAGCGUGCGCAGGCGGUUAUAUAAGACAGAUGUGAAAUCCCCGGGCUCAACCUGGGACCUGCAUUUGUGACUGUAUAGCUAGAGUACGGUAGAGGGGGAUGGAAUUCCGCGUGUAGCAGUGAAAUGCGUAGAUAUGCGGAGGAACACCGAUGGCGAAGGCAAUCCCCUGGACCUGUACUGACGCUCAUGCACGAAAGCGUGGGGAGCAAACAGGAUUAGAGACCCCUGUAGUCCCUGUCUCUUAUAC
rnacentral:rRNA from 1 species